UUUAAUUUUUAUUUAAAAGUGACGGGCGAUAUGUGCAUGCUUAAUUUCUUUUUCAAAAUAUAAUUUUCUUUGUAAUUUUUACUUAUAAAUCCUCAUUUUCUCUGAUUUCUGAGCUGAUCUUUAAUUUUCUUGUUGCGUUCCACUUCUUCUAUUUAAUUUUCUUUGUCUUGAUUUGUUGUGAUUUCUUUAUUAGAUUUGAGAGAAAAAUUUUUUAUUCUCUUUCAAACAAUGAUAUAAAAAAUAUUUUAAAUAGUCCAUUUAAUAGUGGGUUGUCUAUUAGGUUGCAGAACUCUCUAUUAAGUUUAGGCACCGCCAUAUCAUUUAGAUUUUUCUUCUUACAGGUACUCUCUUUUUUAAUUUUAAAA
rnacentral:rRNA from 1 species